CUGGAAACGGCCGAAGUCUGGAAACAAUCUAAACGCUAUCAAUAAAGGCCUGAUUAAAUAAUUUAUGGUCUGUGCAUCCGAUGGCACACUCUGAAGAAAGCUUCUCGUACACUGGUUGCAUUCCUGUGGUUUUGACUGGUAGUGGCUGGGGAGGCUUCACAUGGCAAUGCCCGAACCCCCAGAAGAAAGAGAGCAACCCAUUGCAAACACUUUCCAGCCUUUACUUGCAUGAUGUUUGCUGAAGUCCCUUUGGCCAAAGCACCUCACACAACCAAGCCCAAAUUCAAGGGGGAGAAACAAACUCCAUGUCUUCGAGUACAGUGGACAUCAGUUUUAAUCUACCACAUGGAGGAGCAGAGCCACCCUGGAGGUGGGCACGGUUGGGCCCUGGAAGUAGCCUUCUUGAGGUUGCUGAUACCAGAGGGUCAGCUGCAGAGUGGGGCCGCAGGCAGCUCCGAGCAGGGAUGCUG